rnacentral:lncRNA from 9 species
AUCUGAUCAGUUACAGUAAGGUGAAUCUCCCAAGCAGUUUGCAUUUUCAUUCAUUCAUCCAACAAAUAUUUACUGGAUGCCAACAAAUGGCCUCGGUGCUAGGCCAACAGCAAUGAACAAGCAAGCCACUUUAGAGGCAGUGCACACUCCCAGUGGUAAAAGUGGGACCAAGCUCCUUCCCUGGGAAUUACUCUCAGCAUCUCAGCAUCAAACUACCAGAGUUUUAAACUGUGUCUGCUUACCAAAGGUUUCAUAGGAAUGCUCUGCUUUCAGAGAGUGGGGGAAACCUAUCUGACAUUGAGAAGUGAAAACUUCUCCCAUCCUGGAGCUGCUCUCUUAGAUGUUCAUGGGAAUCCAAUUCCAGAAGUGGAAAGACCUUGGGGAUCACCUAGGCCCUGGAUACCUUUCGUCUUUAUGGAAAAUAAAUUGAUCCCCAGACAGGUGGAAGAUUCCAU